rnacentral:lncRNA from 1 species
CUGGAAUGAAUGCAUCCAGCACACAAUACAUAGAUUUUGCAUUUAAUACCGGUAAGUUUAACGGCAGCUCUCUAAGCGUAUUUUCAAGGGGAGAACCUGGGCUUGCGGUGGUCGGAGGAAGAGGACGAUUCAUGAUGGCAACAGGGGUUGCACUAUUUAACCCUAUCCUUAUAAAUGCCACCACUGUCAUUAUUGAAUUAAACGUUACUGUAAUUCAUUACUAAGGUGCUAUUUACAGACGCAGUUCUCAUCGAAUGUGAAAAUUAAAAUUCUCAUACUUCAUCAUCGUACUUUAUUAUUAUAUUAGAAAUAAAGAUCCAUGGUUGAGCUAUUUGAAUAUAAAUAUUUUUCAAUUGAUGUAAUUGAAGUAAAUUUUUUUGAAUAUAUAACAUAUAAUUUACAACAAUAAAAUUAAAAUUUAAACAAUAAAAUUAAAUAUGUAAAAAAAAAUCGAUAAAUUCGAAAUGGUACACUAAAAUAUACUGGUAUCAAUAUUUACCAGUACCAUGAUCCCUUUUUUCUUCUUUCUUGGUAUUCUUUUUGUUUGCUUUUCUGUUCACGUUUGAGGUUCGUUGUUGACCUUCACAACAAUAUCACCUCUAAGGUAUGAUCUAGCAUAUUUCUUCCUUAACACACCUUUUCAUGUUUGAGGAUAUAACAUGUCUUACUACUACUUUGUUUCUUCCUUAACACACCUUUUUAUCUGUUUCUAGAAUUACUUCUAAAUUAGCUAUUAAAAAUGAAAGACCAAAAUAUCCCACUAAUAUUAAUUUUAAUUGACUUACAUUAUUAACAAUUAAACAUGCUUCCUUUAUUAAUUAACCUUUAUUAAUGAAAUUAAGUGGAUGUUAUCAUAAACUUCCAUAUAAUAACAAUGGUUUAUUAUCCAUUUUAGGCCAUUUGCAUAAUUGCUAAUUAGGUCUUCGAACGUUUUCUAAAUUAAAAUUAAAUAACGAUUGAAGUUUUACAAUUUAAUUCUUGUACUAUAUUUAAUGAUUUUUCGGAUUUAAUUACCCAACCUACUGUUAAUAUAUUUUUCAUACUAAGUUUAUAAAUACUGAUUAAUUAAAAUGAUUAACUAAACUAUCCUAGCAAAAUAUAUAUUUGAAAUUAUUUUUAAUAUAAUAUACAAAUUUUAUUAAAAUUUUAAUUUUAACUAUUAUACUCCUUAAAUACUUUAACCAUAAAGUUACGUACGCAAUUAAAUUUUAAUAAAAUUUGUAUAUUAUAUUAAAAAUAAUUUCAAAUAUUUUUGAAAACUAUACAACUUUGGUUUCCUAUUUAUAACUUUUUUGUGGUACAUCAAUUAUUUAAAUCCUGAUUAUUUCUCGAGAAAAUAAACAUCCGGUCAAUUGGUCACAAUAUGGGGUUCGAUCCAUUGUUUAGAUUUUAAUCAUUUGGGUAUGCAACUCUUUUUUUUAAAAAUAUCGUUGAUUGAACUUUAACUCAAUUGUUAACAUAUUAUUAUAGCAACAAUAAAGGGGACGUGGGUUUAAGCAUGCAUAUAAAUGUUUUUAUCGUCCAUUUGUGAGUGUGGGAGGUUUAUGAAUAAUUUCGGGACUGUAUAAAAAAGAUUACGUACGCAAUGUGACAAUUAUUAACUCUAUAUGCCCCGCCAAAUUCAAAAGUCCUUUUCAUAGUACAACAAGGGUAAAUGCUAAAAAUGAUUAUCUAAUUAUUACUGUUUUUCAAUUUUGGUCGCCCAUGUUUAAAAAUGUUUAUCUUAGUCAUGUUACUGAAAUUUAAUAUUUUGGCCACGCCUUCGUUAAAUCACUAAUGGUGAUGUCUAUUUUAGUCACGUUACCAAAUUUUAAUAUUUUAGUCACGUUUCCGUUAAAUUACUAAUGGUGACAUUUUUUAAUUUACAUAAUAACAAAUUUAGGCCUCAAAUAUCUAACUCGAUUGAAAAAAAUAAUUGAAUUAAUUAAUUAAUUAAUAUUUUGAAAAAUAGAAAACUAUCAUAAACAUUUGUUGGAUUAAAAUUUUUUUUAUUUUAUUAAAUGUGGAUUAAUAUAUGACGAAGGACAGUACUAGAAUGAAGUUAUUUGGUCUAAAGGGAAUUGCAGAAGAUACAAUAAUUUAUAAUGACCAACACAUCAAUAACAUGUGAAAAACACGAAAACCCUAUCCUUAAAAAUGCCACCAAUGCCAUUAUUGAAUUAAACGUUACCGUACUUCAUUACUAAGGUGCUAUUUACAGACUCAAUUCUCAUCGAUUGUGACAAUGCCAUGAUUCUUCUCCACUUGAUUAGAAUAAAUGUACGAGAAUAAAUUAAAAUUCUCUUACUUCAUCAUUGUACUUUAUUAUUAUAUUACAAAUAAAGAAUAACAAAAUAAGCUGGCCGAGAAUACUCUAACUUGCCACAACAAAUUAUUCGAUAUAAUUGUACUAUUAAUUGAUAUGUAUAACUAUUUUAGUUAAUUUAUUAGUUAAUUUAGUGGACAUUAAUAUAAAAAUUGAAUACUUUAAACCUAAAUUUUAUUUUAUUUUAUGUUAAAUAUUUUAAAAUUUACAUUUAAACUUAAAAUACAAUUAUUAAAUUAAGUUAUUGAACCUAAUUAGUAAUUUUAAAACUUAUAUUUUGAUAUAAAUAUAUUUUUGUAUGUAAGAUUGAUAAUGCUCUAGAAUAACGUAUUUUUAUGUAUUAAUCAUGUGUUUAUUCUGAGCUUGAUCCUACUAAUUUGAGCUAUUUAUGUCUUUUUAUCUUUUCGGGACUGAUUUGGAGGCAAAAGCAAAAUUAAGAGACAAAAGUGCGAAUUUAGAGACACAAUGGGCUGAUAUGCGACACAGGAAAAAGAUUGUGCCAAAAGUGCGAGCAUGGAAGACACAAGGACUAAAAACGCAAAAAGAAGAGAUUUUAUUUUAUAAGACUCCAUUUUAUUUAGAUUAAGAUAAUUAAUAUUAAGAUAAUUAUUAGGAUUAUUUAAUUUUAGGAUUUUAUUUCAAUUAUUUUUAUUUAUCUUUAAUUAAAUGUAUUUAUCUUUUUAGAAUUUAAGUUAGACUAUCUCCCUAGCACUAUAAAUAGGGGGUGAGGUGACUCUAUUUGGGGUGUUCAUCUUUUUCUGUAAACACUCUCCCCCUGAAAGUCUAGGCUUUUGUUUCUUCAUAUUUUCUUUCAAUAAAAUUCUUUUUUCCAAUUUUAUAUUUGUUUUUUUUCCACCAUUAUCAUGAGCCACUAAAACCUAUCUAGCCGAAAGUUGUCAAUAUUCCCCAAAAAGGGUUCUUGAGACCUAGAAUCUGUACUUAGCCUUCUCGCCAAGUAUUCAUCAUUUCUCCGCACUACGGGUUGACGCUUCAGUCCAUGGCCCUUAAGAAGUAAGCUUUUCAGCAUAUGCAAAGGCGGCCGCUUUGUAUGUUUUGGAAGGAUUGCAUAGUCGGUUCGUUAACUUACUGCAUCAGAGGUUGGCGAGCCAAAGAGACAAAAUGGCGUGGGAUUCGCCAUUGAGAAGCCUUGAUCUAGCAUAGAUUACUGGCUAGAGUUAGGUCCCCUAAAAAUCGUAAGUCUAAUCUUCUAUAGCUGGUGGUCAGGUUCCAAUAUUUUUGAAAAAUACAAAAUUUUGGUUCUUUGCUUACACUUUUUCUUUUGGUACAUCGGUGACUUGAAUCUAGGCUAUUUUUAUAGAAAAUAAACACUCGAUCAAUGGAUCACAACUUGCGAUUUGGUUCAUUAUUUAAAUUUUAAUAAUUUGUUAUAGGUGCAUUGAUGAUUCGAUUUUAUGCUAUUUUUAUAGAAAAUAGAUACUCGAUCAAUAGACCACAAUUUGGGGCUUGAUUCAUUAUUUAGAUUUUAACCAUUUGUUAUGCAACUUUAAAAGAAAAAGAAACAUUGCUAAUUGAUCUUUAACUCAAUUGUUACUAUUGUUGUUGUAACAAUAAGUAGGAUGUGGGUUUCAACACCUUUAAGUGCUUUUAUCUCCAAUUUAUGAGGUUUAUGAGUAUUUUAAGCAUUGUAUAGAAAAUUUAUGUAGGCAAUGUGACAAUUUUAACUCUAUAUGCCUUGCCAAAUUCGAUUGUUCUUAUCAUAGUACAACAAGGGUAAACUCAAAAAAUAGUCGCCUAAUUAUUAGCCUGUUUCAAUUAUGAUCAUUCAGGUUUAAAAUUUUCUAUUUUAGCUACAUUAUCGAAAUUUAAUAUUUUAGUCACGACUCCAUUAAAUCAUUAACGGUGACAAUUUUUUAUUAGUAUAAUAACAAAUUUAACCUCAAAUAUUUAAUUAGGUUUAAAAAAUAAUUUAAUUAAAUAGAUGAAUUAAAUUUAUUUUAGUUAAGUAAAUAAUAUUUUUGAAAGUAAAAAAAUAUUAACUAAAAUAUAUGGGUUGAUUAAAUAUUCAGAUAUAUGUACGAUAUAUGAGAUAGGCCCAAUAAGCUCAUCCAAUGUGUGAUGGGCAACACCCAAGGUUCGAGAGGGAGUAUUGUUGCCCUCCUGGUAACAGUACUGAGAUUAUAAAAAUAAUAUUAUUUUUGGUUAUCUUCAACCUAUAUUUAAGUGGACCCAAUCCACAUAUCAAUCAUAAAACAGAAUAAUUUAUAACAUCAGCACAUCAAGCAGAUGUAUGGACAAUACAAACCAUUCAAACGAAAAUAAAAAAAGCAGGGUAGGAGACUUCCAAUCUAAAAAUUGAUUUAAAGCAAGUGGAUCAUUUAAUUUUAUAGGCAGAAUGGUGUUUACGUGAAGUUAUCCUUAUUUAAAAAUGUAGCAGCCAAUUAGACCAAGUUUGUGUUGCCUGGUCAAAAUUUGUUGUCUUUAAUAUUACUAGUGAGAACUCAUGCAGGUAUUAUAUAAAAUGUUUUGGACAGUAAAUUAUUUUCAUAUCUGCGGGUUUUAUCAGUAUAAAUGAAGCAGCAAUUCUAUAGCUUUAAUCUACAUUUCGAACCAGAAAUUAUAGUAAAGCAGAGACAAUGAGAGGAACAUGGAUGUUGAGUUGGAUUCUGAUCAUCUGCCUCUCCCAAGUAGCAGUGCAGAGCCAAUACUACUCGGAGACCCUACCAUAUCAUCCCAGGCCAGUUAAGGUCACCAAUCUUCACUUCUUUAUGCACAGAACUACGGGUGUUACAAUAGUCGUGGUAGCCCAAGCUAACAGCACAAGCAACGACAAUAAUUCAUCAGUGCCAUUUGCCUCCUUAUUUGCCAUUAAUGAUCCCCUCAGGACUGGUCCUGAGCCUGACUCAGAGUUGAUUGGAAAUAUUCAGGGUAUUGCGUCAGUGACCGGAAUGAAUGCAUCGAGCACGGAAUACCUAGAUUUUGGAUUUAAUACUGGUAAGUUUAACGGUAGCUCUCUAAGCGUAUUUUCAAGGGGAGAACCUGAUCUUGCCGUGGUCGGAGGAAGACGACAAUUCAUGAUGGCAAGAGGGGUUGCACAAUUUAAUCCUAUCCUUGUAAAUGCCACCAAUAUCAUUGCUGAAUUUAACGUUACUGUAAUUCAUUACUAAGGUGUUAUUUACAGACUCAAUUCUCUUGGAUUGUGAAAAAGUCAUAUGAUUUUGCUCCACUUGAUUAGAAUAAGUGUAUGAUAUAUAUAUAUAUGUUGAUUUGAUUAAAAAUUAAAAUUCUCAUACUUGAUCAUUUUACUUUAUUGUUAUAUUACAAAUAAAGAUUAAUUUCUUAGCUACAAAAAGGCAUAUAAAUAUAUCUAUAGAGUAUUUAUCUUCAUCUCUUAUAGAGGUUGUUUUAUGCAAAACUUGACCAUCAUGAAAACUUAAACAAACUAAAGUGGGCAUUGAUGUAUUUGAUUCCUUGGCACUUGACAAUUAUUUGUUUAUUUUGCUCAAUAUAUCAUAACAAGUAUAUACUUGUGUAGAGAUGAAUAAAUCUUGGGAUGUUGGAAUGACUUUAACUUCCAAGAAAUGAUUCAGAUCACUAAGAUCUUUACGAGAGAAUCUCUCGGCCAAAGUUUGAACAAAGUUAGAGAGAAAAGCUUUAUUGUUUUUAUUGACACCAAAUUUGGUCGGAUUCGAUAAACUCAUAUUCGACCAUACUUAGGCCUUUAAUAGAUCGAUAAAUUAAGGCAUAAUAUCAAAUUUAGCUCUCAAUAUUUACAUGUUUUACUCAAUUUAGCUCUUAUCUCUUUUUCUAGCUAAAUUUGAGCUGCAACCUUUUGAAAGGAAUCGAAUUUGACUUCAAACCUUUCAAAAAGAGUCAAAUUGUAGUUUUGUUAUUGGAAAUGCUAACUAAAAUGUUAAACUUUUAAACAUCAUAGCUCUCAUGGCAAUCCACAUGUACUUUAUAUUAAUUUUCUUUUAAUUUUUAUGAAAUUUUUAUAAUUUUACUUUUUUAUAAUUUAUUAUUUUUAAAUUAUUUAUUGAAGUGACAUAUAAAAUAAAAAAUAUCAUAACAAUAUAAAGUACACGUGGAUUGCCAUACCGACAUCAUUAAAAAUUUAUUCUUUUUGUCAUCAUUUUCGUUAAAAAAGAGAUAUUUAUAAGAAUAAAUCCUAUUUUCAACAAAUCUCAGAGUUUUUCAGUUUUUCAUAGAGAGAAAUUAACUUUUCGACUGGAAGUCAACCAAGUUAUCUAUAACACCCAUACCUGACCCGAAAAUCGGGUCUGAGAUAUAGAAUGCCACAUUCGUUGUCGGAGCAACUUCGAUCGAUUACAUACAAAUUUCAUUGUUAAUCAUUUAUUUACAAGUAUUAAAAGCUUAAAACAUAAUAUAUAAUCAUUUCGGGUCAUAUAUGAGCUUAUGAAAGCUCAAUACCAUCCCAAGGUUGAACUAGGAUUGAACUGAAAAGUUUUCAAAAUAUAUCUGGUGGGUAUCGCCUCAUUAAAUAUAGUAGCCAAACUUCCAAACCUGAUAACCAAAUUGCAAAACUUCCAAAAUAAAAUAGGGUUGACAUCAUGACCUCAAGCAAGGGACGUCACAAUGAGAUGGCCUGAGGUCGUGACAUUCAAGUUGUCAAGUUGCAACAUCCAUGGCAGACCACUAAGUUCCUUUUCCAAAGAUACCAACCUAGCAUAUGCAGGUACAGUUUGACCCUAAGGCCCUAUCCAUCCUUCCAAUACAUAUAGAUAUGAUUAAUAUGCCAUUUUAAGUAAUUAAUAUAAAAUUAAUACAUGACCAAAAUCAUUUUCAUAUCUUCACCAUUCAUGUACAUUAGUUUGACCAUUUUCAACAUUUAUCAAGAUAGCCUUAGGUACAUGCCAUUUAACCAAAAUGAAAUGAACUAUACAAACUCAGUUGAGUUGAAUACAAUAGCCCAGAUGCUAACUUAACUUCCUAGGGCGUUGAGGAAAACCUGAACCUGUUCCUGUAACAACUAAACCGUAUCCUAAGCGAUAGGGCUCAGUGGUAUUUUCAUGCUUCAAGAUAGUAUAACAUAACAUUAAUACCAUGAUUUAAUACAAUGCAUAUGCAUAACAAUCUAUAUUUAAACAUUUCAUGUCCUACAAAUACAAAUCAUUUCUCAUCAUCUUCUAAUACAUAUAUACAUACCUAUCGCAAUGAUAAGCCAAUUCAUUAAUCAAUCAUCAUUCAUUAACUUAUUCUCUAGCAAAACAUCAAUUAUGAAUAAAAAAUACAAUUAUAUACUUAAACAACAUGCCAUUCAAUUUUAUAUUUAUUUAACAUCUACCAUUCAAUCCUUUUUCCUAAGUCAAUUUGCUCAUUCACAAUAGUUUCAGCCUUUAGGGCUCAUUUUCGAAUGGUUUGCUCAAUAGCUUAAAUGUUCUUUUUAUCAAAAUUCACAUAGGAAAAUAAGUGAGACCAUAUUAUUAAACCAUUUCAUUUUACGAUAUCAUUUGUCAUGUUUACCAUUUAUAACCCUAUUAACAUGACUCGGACUCGAACAGAUACACAAAAUGUCCAACUAGCAUACCAAACUGGCAUCGAAGAGCAUCAUUGGAUAAAUCAAAGCAGGGCAAAUCGGGCACAUAAAGUGCAUUUUGGUGUAAAAAGUGCAAGUGCAUACUGGCACACGAAGUGUAUCCUGGCACAUGAGGUGCAUCCUGACGCAUAAGCUCAUAAUCCAGUACACAAACCAAUCCUAUAGCAUGCCAAUUAUACUCGAACAACUAAUAGGGUACCAACAUUCAAUCUAUUUUACGAUUCAAUACAUAAAACAUUCUUGACCGCCUAUAAACGUGUUACCGUUUAUAGUAUAAAUAACACAUCAAAAAUAUAAUAAAUAAAUCUGAUGGUGUCGGUAAGCUUAUGGGUCAAAUUUUAAUAUAGUAUGUGUUAUAACGAAACAUCGAUAAGUAUUCUGAAAAUCGUACCUAAGGGAUUGCAUAUUGGAGAAAUUAAUAUUAAGUCAAUUAUAGAAAAUAGGGAAGAACGAACACCCAAAUAUUUUACAUGGAAAACUCCUUCGAAGAGGAUAAAAACCAUGGACAAAUGAGGCUUCAAGUUUCCACUAAAUUUGUAAACAAACAAGAGGACAAUAUCGAGAAAAUAAACCUAAAUGUACUAAACGUACAAACCCAAACCCCAAAAAUAAAGUCCUAACUUGGAAACUAAAUUCUUUACAUAGUUACUACGAAAUUCUCACAAAAAAUCAUAUGCGACUACAUCUUGUCGCCUUUAAAGAAAAGCACUUGUUGAUUGGCUUGUUAGUUUUUUGGCCACUCAAAAUAAGGAUACAAUGGACCCUUUAAAUAGGUGAAGAUUAGAGUUCUAAUCAUACUAAAAUAUCCCUAAAAUAAUCAAAGUUUGACUGAGAGAAUAAGUCCUACUUAGAGUAAAUAAUGUGGUUGCUUACGUGGAGAAUACAUCGCUUGAUGGGUGUCGAAUCCAUAAAAUAUAACUUUUCAUGCCUAAACGAAAUGUAAAUCAACAAUACAAAGAGUAGGGUUGAUCCUACAGGGGUUGAGAUAUCUAAAAUUGUUGUUCAUUUUAACCAAAACAUGUGGUAGGCAACUUUCAUGCCCAUGACGUGUGUCGAGCUAUAUGAAAAAUAGAAGAGAGGGAUUAAAUCUGACUAUAAUAAAAUAACAUAAAUAAAUAACUAUAUAGUAAAACAAACAUUAUGAAAACAAAAUUGAGUAAACUGAUGAGACAACGCUCUAACUUUAGGAAUAGUUUUGGCCCUGGUUUCUAGUUGAUCCACGGCAAUAGAUUUUCACCUCCAACCGAUAAGUCAAUUAUAAUGAUUAAGGAAAAACCUCUAACCACUUGCCUUUUUGUACGUAAAUUAAAUGCGAGAACAAUUCGACAUGUAACACUUAUGAAGUAAUCAACCAUAAAAUUGACUUCUACGAUUUAGUUCCUCGUUAACCAUGCAAACAAGAUGGAAUCGACUUGAAUCAAAGGUCUCUAUUGUGCCGGUCGUUUAAAACCUAUCAAUAAUUCUAAUAAUACUCUAAAAUGACGUGUUUUUAUACAUUAAUCAUGUGUUUAUUUUGAGCUUUAGCCUACUAAUUUGAGCUAUUUAUGUCUAUUUAUCUUUUAGGGACUAAAUUGGAGGCGAAAAGUAAAUUCAAGGGAAAAAGCAUCAAUUUGGAAAUCAAAUGGGCCAAUAUGCAACGUGGGACAAAUAUGGUGCCAAAAGUACGAACAUGGAAGGCACAAGGACUUAAAAGCAAAUAGAAGAGAUUUUAUUUUGGAAGACUCUAUUUUAUUUUAUUUUAUUAGGAUAAUUAAUAUUAAGAUAAUUAUUAGGAUUAUUAAAAUUUAGGAUUUUAUUUUAAUUAUCUUUGUUUAUCUUUAAUUAAAUGUAUUUAUCUUUUUAGAAUUUAAGUUCAAUUAGACUAUCUCCCUAGCACUAUAAAUAGGGGGUGAAGUGACUUUAUUUGGGAUCAUCUUUUUCUGUAAACACUCUCCCCCUGAAAGUCUAGGCUUUUGUUUCUUCAUAUUUUCUUUCAAUAAAAUUCUCUUUUCCAUUUUUAUAUUUAUUUUCUUUUCCACCAUUAUCAUGAGCCACUAAAACCCUUCUAGCCAAAAGUUGUCAAUAUUUCCCCAAAAAGGGUUCUUGAGGCCUAGAAUCCGUACUUAGCCUUCUCACCAAGUAUUCAUCGUUUCUCCGCACUCCGGGCUGACGCUUCCGUCCAUGGCCAUUAAGAAGUAAGCUUUUCAGAAUAUGCAAAGGCGACCGCUUUGUAUGUUUUGGAAGGGUUGCAUAGUCGGUUUGUUAACUUACUGCGUCAGAGGUUGGCGAGCCAAAGAGACAAAAUGGCGUGGGAUUCGCCAUUGAGAAGCGUUGAUCUAGCAUAGAUUACUGGCUAGAGUCAGGUUCCCUAAAAAUCAUAAGUCUAAUCUUUGGAGCUGGUGGUCGUAGGCGUCCUCUUCCGCUAUAAUUGGGUUACUUGAGUCGAGAAGGAUCAUCCAAAAGCCAAGGAUUGAGCCCAAGGCGGAAUGAGACAACCGGAGGCUGGAACUUUCCCAUAAGAAUUUCUUUUCUCUUAAAACUCUCUUUAUUAUUUUUAUUAUUUUCGUAAUCAUAAUUUCAGUAAAUUUUAAAUUCUGUUUUUAUUUUAUUUUUUUUGCUUCCAAAAUCAAUUCUUAAAUUCUGUUUUUUUAUUUUUUCCAGGAACGCAGGUUUUCUUGGGCACGAUUCUGCCUAAGAUUUCGAGAAACAAGCAUUCGUAUAAUCCGGUCCCUGAGGAUUCGACCUUACUUGCCCUUUACGAUUUCUCUUUCGUUAUUUUAUAGGGAAUAGGAUAUUUUUGGUGCUCUCAACGACCGCAUCAAAUUUUGGCGUCGUUGCCGGGGACCGGCAACAUACUAAUCUUAUUUUUCUUUAUUUUCUAUGACCAGAUCUGCUCCAGGUACUCUUGCAUUCGACUCAGAAAUCGAAAAGACUGUUAAAGCUAAUCGAAAGGAAACAAAACUAAGGAAAAAGCAGUCAGGGGUGGUUGGAACUCAAAGCAAUCCACCGCCAGAAAUUAGAAUCAACGACGAAGUAGAGUCUAGGGUUAACGAAAACCCUACUCGAAUGUUAGAAAGUAAAGAAGAAGAAGUCGAUUCACCUGAAGAGGUCAUUGACGCUAGGGUUGACGAAAACCCUAAUUUAGCGCAAUAGCAGAUGGCUCAGACAAUUCGGUAACUGGCCGAAGCGCCGACAGAACAACCGCCACUAUGCAUUGCUUAUCCUACUAUGGAUACUGAUUUUGAAUUAAAGUCAGGCUUGAUUCAGCUACUGCCAACUUUUCGUGGGUUACAAAAUGAAAACCCCCACAAGCAUUUAAAAGAAUUCCAUAUGGUUUGUUUGAGUAUGAAACCUCAGGGGGUAAUUGAGGAUCAAAUUAAAUUGCGCGCUUUCUCUUUUUCCCUAGCAGAUUCAGCUAGGGAAUGGUUAUUUUAUUUACCUCCUGGAUCCAUUACAACUUGGGCUGAUCUAUCUCGUUUAUUUCUUAACAGGUUUUUCCCUGCAUCACGAGCGGCAGAGUUAAGAAGAGAAAUCGUGGGCAUAAGGCAAAAAGACGCAGAGACUCUAUACGAUUAUUGGGAGCGAUUUAAGAAGUUGUGUGCAAGUUGCCCACAACACGGUAUAAUGGAACAGUCUUUGCUCUAGUACUUUUAUGAAGGCUUGAAACCCAUGGAGAUGAAUAUGGUAGAUGCCGCGAGUGGAGGAGCGUUAGUCAACAUGACUCCAUAACAAGCAAGAGACUUAAUCUCCACAAUGGCUGCGAAUUCCCAACAAUUUUGAGCCAAUCCUGAACCCCCUAGAAGGGUUCACUAGCUAAGUAAUUCUACCAUUGAGGAUAGACUUGAUAGACUUACUAAUAUUGUGAAUUCCCUUGUUACAGAAAAAUCAAAACCAGCCCGAGUAUGUGGAAUAUGUGCUACACCUGAACAUACGACUGAUGCGUGCCCUAAUCUGUAUGACGAUUCUAUGGCCCAUUUAGAUGCUGUGGGAAAUUUUCCUGGGCCACCACAAAGACGAUACGACCCUUACACCAAUACCUACAACUCAGGGUGGAGGGACUACCCUAAUUUUAAUUAUGGGGCUAAUCUACGAUAUAACUAGCCAUACCAAAAUCGAGCCCAACAACACUCGCAAGAUUCAGGUAAUUCUCUAGAAACUUUGGUCAAUAAAUUAGAAACUAAUGUCCUUGAUUUUCAACAGCAAACUCUCAAUUUCCAAAGAGAAAUGAAGGGUUUUCAGCAGAAAACUGAAGCAUCCAUAAGGGAGUUGACCACAUCAAUUGAGAAAUUAAACUCUCAAGGGAAACUACCAUCAUAAACAGAACCAAACCCGAGGCAGAAUGCGAAUGCAGUAACGUUACGAAGCAGAAAGGUCCUCGAACCAAUUUUUGGCAAGAAUCUUGGUCAAGAACUCGCCCAGGAAACUCCAGAAAACGACGAACAGAUCCGAGCGAAAUCCCCACUACCGAAAAUCCAACCUCCAUUCCCAGGACGAUUAAAUCAGUGUCGAAAAAGUAAGGAAGAUAAGGAGAUACUCGAAACAUUCAGGAAUGUUGAGAUCAACUUACCACUGUUAGAUGCCAUUAGAUAGAUUCCGCGGUAUGCCAAGUUCCUCAAAGAGCUUUACACCAACAAACGAAAACUAACAGUUAAUGAAAAGGUAAGUGUUGGUGAGAAUGUUUCCACAGUGCUACAGCGAAAAAUGUCGGUUAAAUGCAAAGAUAGGGGUAUGUUCGCUAUUCCAUGCAAAAUUGGCCAUUUAGGAAUUAAAAAGGCUAUGUGCAAUCUAGGGGCGUCCAUAAAUGUAAUGCCUUAUUCUAUUUAUGAAUCACUUAACGCGGGUUUUUUGACAAAGACAGGUGUUACCAUUCAGUUGGCAGACAGGUCCAUUGUGCAUCCCGAAGGGGUCCUCGAGGAUGUAUUAGUCAAAUUCAAUGGGCUUAUCUUCCCUGCAGAUUUUUAUGUGAUAAAAAUGGAGGAGGAUAACACUCCUGGGUCUUCAGCCAUCUUGUUGGGGUGACCUUUCCUUAGUACUGCGAAUACUAAGAUUGAUGUACGAAGCGGAACCCUCACGAUGGAGUUUGACGGGGAGAUCGUGAAGUUUAACGUUUAUGGCACUAUUAGUCACCCAAGUGAAGUCUUGGACGUAAACCGUGUCAACAUAAUUGACUCAUCAAUAGAAAAAACUUUUGAGUCAACUUAUAGAGAUAAACCUAAAAUGAUGUUUGAUGAUUUUGAAUCUGUUAAUAAAUUAUUGGCUCCCAUGAAUACUAAACUUCUACCUCCUGUUGUGCAGGCACCAGAUCUGAAAUUAAAACCACUUCCCGAACAUAUCAAAUGCACAUUUUUGGAGAAUGAUGAGACCAUUGCCGACUUAAAAAGGAUCAAACCCUUGGAGGAAAAUACGAAACCAAAGAAAGAGGCGCAAGGCUGAUUAAACCCAAAUAUGGUGGACGUGUUAAAAAAUGAGAAUUUCCAAGCCUAUACAAAUGAAAGAAUUCAUUUGGAACAAUUCCAAUUCUAGUUGAGGCGUCAAGCUAGCGACAUUAAACAAGCGCUUGUUGGGAGGCAACCCAAUCUUUCUUUUUUUUUAUUUAUUAUUUUCCUUUCUUUUUAUUUUUUAUUUUUUAUUUUAUUUUUAUUUUAUUUUAGUUAAAUAUUAAUAAAUUUCUCUUCUUCCAUCUAGGUGAAAUGGAGCGAAAAUACGAAGAAAAAAAAGACAGAAAGUGUGCACCAAAACAACCCUAUCCAUGGUACCAAACAGUUCUAUUCCAGCCCAGAAUGCCAUAUCUCUGCAGCCAAACAAUCUUAUUCCAGCCCUAGAAUCCCUAAAAUCUGCAACCAAACACCCCUUUUCAGCAAAUAAAACCCCCAAACCUUACAUUUUUUUCCCAAAUUUCUCCAUAACCACCGACUCCUCUCUCCUCCACCACCCCUGCCGAUUUCUCAGCCACCAUGGUGAGAACCCGAAGCCGAACCGCCAUUGCACACGUCACCCACCCCGUCUCCACCUCUUGCUGCUUCGCCAUCUUCUUCUCCACCGUGUGCGCCAACUGACGGUAACUACAUGGGGAGUUUUUCUAAACUUUUUUUCUCCACCUAUUUGUUUUCCUUUUACUUUCAUAUCGAGGACUGUAUGUUUUAAGUAGGGGGAGGAAGUUAUUCAUUUUGUUUUAACUGCUGAAUUUUUGUUAUUACUGCUGGUUUGAUUGUUGCUAUUGUUGCUGGCUCUCUAUUUAUUUUUUGGAAUAUCUUGCCUCUUUUCAUGCCCAAGAUUUUACCAGGAAUUGCCUACUGUUUGACCUACAAGUAUGAUUCUUACCUUCUAAGGAAGUUAUGAUUUUUCCCAUAAUUGAUGCCAUCUCCACUGUUUUAUUUUUAUUAGGCUAAAAAUAAUUGUGAUUAAUAGGGUUAAUUCUAUAUUGCUUUUCGUAAAAUUGAUCAAGUUUAAUAUAAAGUGAACACUUAAAAUGAUUGCAUGCUUAAUUAAUGUUCAUGGCUAUUAGGUGAUUAUUGAAACUUAUUUUUGACACUUAAAUUUUUUUUCUUUCCUGAGUUCUCAAGAAUUUUAAAUAUCGUUUAAUUUUUAAUAAAAGUUUUCCAUGGUUAUGAGUACAGCUUAGAUCGUGACUGACUGAGUAACCGGGGUAGGGUGCUUGAGUUGUCAUUCUACUUCGCAUCAAAAGGUUGUGUGACGUGACAAGUAAAACUCCACUAGCCGAGGUUAUGAGUAUGGCUCAAAUCGUGACUGACUGAGUAAUCGGGGUAGGGUGCUUGGGUUGUCAUUCUACUUCGCGUCAAAAGGUUGUGUGACGUAUUGGGUAAAGCUCCGCUAACCGAAAAUAAAUAAUUUUAGGAGUAUGUUGGGCUGAGUAACCGGAGUGGGGUGCUUGGGUUGUCAUCUCUCUUCGCGUCAAAAUGUUUAAUAUAUUCCUAAGUAAAUAAAUAGUAAUAAAAUUUAAAAAAAAAGAAAAAAUAAAAAAAUAAAAAAAAGAAGAAGAAAAAAGUAAGUACUAAUAAAGUUGCACUUCGGGGACUAAAGGAGGAAAUAAUUAAGGUGUCCUAGUAAUUUACCUAAAUAGCAUAACUCAAGUCGAUCUUAAUUUUUGUGUGAAUUAAUUGGAAUAUUUUUUCUGUUUUACUUAAAGUAAGCUUAGAGGUCUCUUUAUUUUUCAUAUGCAUUUUUAACUAAUUUUUAUGAAACUUUGGAGUGGUAUUUCUUUUAUGGCAAAAUCUAGCUUUCACAGUCGAUAGAAACCAUACUUGAGGGCAAGCAUGGGCUAAGUAAGGGGAAUUUGAUAAUACUCUAAAAUGACGUGUUUUUAUAUAUUAAUCAUGUGUUUAUUUUGAGCUUGAGCCUACUAAUUUGAGGUAUUUAUGUCUAUUUAUCUUUUAGGGACUAAAUUGGAGGCGAAAAGUAAAUUCAAGGGAAAAAGCGUCAAUUUGGAGAUCAAAUGGGCCAAUAUGCAACGUGGGACAAAUAUGGUGCCAAAAGUGCGAACAUGGAAGGCACAAGGACUUAAAAGCAAAUAGAAAAGAUUUUAUUUUGGAAGACUCUAUUGUGCCGGUCGUUUAAAACCUAUCAAUAAUUCCCUUGACAAAUACAAUUAUUCAUUUAAUUGGUCACGUCAAUUUGUUCUUCAACACACUGAAUAUGGCAAUUACUAAUUGUUUCGAUUCUUCCAACUAUAUAGAAACAAAGUUUUUAGGCAAAAUGGAAGUUUAAAAUUUUACUUAAACUCAAGCCUGGUGAUAUUUAUAGCAAUAAACCUUUAACCAAAAUUAUAUCUAUGUUUUGUACGAGGUGGUCUAAGUCAAUCCCGACUUUUUAGUGAACGACCUUCUUCGCUAUCCUUAAACCCCGAAUUGCUUUGAGUGUGGGCUUAAACAAAUCGAACCGAAUGCACAGAAUGAAAACAUUUCUUAACUUUCAGUGAAAAUGUUAGUUCUCUCUAUAAAUCGGAAACUAUCACAUUUUCCCAAAAAAUAGAAUUUAUUCUAAAAAAUUUGUCACUACUUUUCCACAGUAAUGGUCGCUAAACUAACUAAAAAUUUGACUAAGGCAAGCGCACCUAUCGAACAGUAGUAUAGUUAUGGUGAGACCGGAAAUAUCGUAUCCAUAAUGACUAAAAGUAUUAGUAAUUACUAUCUUUUUAUUAUCUAGCCUAAGAAUUAAAUGGAUGUUUUUAAACUAAGAUUAACUAUCUAAUUAACUAAGAACACGACAGAGAUUAAAGUUGGAAAAUACUUUUGGAAAACCGAUGGAGAAGACAAUACCCAAGGAAGAAUCCACCUAGACUUCAUUUAUUAAUUCUGAAUUUUAUUCACUUGACUUAAUCCAUAGGAAUCCCUAGCUUAUGUUAAUAUCUCUUUCGAGACUAAAAACAACUAACUCUAGGUUGAUUAAUCGAAAUCUCUUUCUAAUUAAAACCCCUAUUGUCGCAUUAACUCGAUCUAUGGACUCCCUUAUUAUAUUUGACUCUAAUCCGACAGAUUUAUGUCAUCCUAUCUCUAGGAUUGCAUGCAACUCCGCUUAAUUAUAGAAUAUCUACUCUUAAACAGGGACUUUUGCUCCACUAAAUAAGCACAUCAAAACCUGAAUUAAUAUCUUGGAAUAUUAAAGUAAUGAUUAAAACUCAUAAUUAAGAAUAAGACAAGUAUUUAUCAUAUAAUUCAAAUAAUAAUAAGAUCUAUCUUAGGUUUCAUCUCUCUUAGGUAUUUAGGGAGUUUAGUUCAUAACGAUAGGGGAAAACAUCUCAAAAUUGGGAAAAUAACAAAACAUAAGAAACCCAAAAACUUUGGUAGAAAUUGAAUGUAGAUCUUUAGUCUUGAAGUAAUUCCUGCUUCCGAGCUGAUUCCAAUGGCUGUCUUUGAGUAUUUUCUACCUUUCACUCUCUGUGUCCCCCUUGAUCCUCUUCUCGCGUGUUUAAAUAGACUUUGGAAUGCCCAAAAUUGCCCAAAAUUAGCCUUUUCCGAGUAGAAUUAAAAUAGGUCUCGACAGGGACAUGGCCAUGUGGCAUGCCCGUAUAGUGGUUCUCAAGCUGUGUGCAAUUCUGAUAUGGUUUUAAGUCGACACGGCCAUUACACACAGGCGUGUGGUCUGCCCAUGUGUCUCACACGGGCGUGUGGAUUACCAGUGUGGAAGUGUCUAGGCCGUGUGCAACACUGAAAUAAACCUAUAUUUUGUCCGUUUUCGGCCUUUUUCUUGCACUUUUCGCUUUCCUAUUCUCAUCUAGAUAUAAAACAUGAAAUUUACGGAUUAGGAGCAUCAAAUUCACUAAAUCUUAUGAUAAAUCAUCCAAAAAUAUGCCAAGUAUAGGAUUAAAAUAUGUUACUUUUAAGGUUUAUUAUACAGAUUAACAAUACUCUCAAAAUUGUAUAAAUAAUUUAACUUGUAGUCCCUAUUUAUAAAGAAACAGUACAUAAUAUCUAUUCAAAUAAGAUGUAAUCAAAUGAUAAUAUUUUAAUAAAAAAAUAAAAAUUCUACUUGAAGUAGAAUAGGUGGGGGCGGUGGCUUGGCUUAGAAUAUAAUAGUGUUUACCAUCGCUUCCUUUAACUAAGCCUAAUUUGGGCAUUAUUGGGUACUAUUAUUAUAUAUAUAUUUUGAAAUUUUAUUCGACACUUAUAAUUUAUGUAGUUCAAUAUUAUUUUUUAUUUCUCAAAUAUAUCAAUUAAUUAAAACAGUUGUUCUGUAUUAAAAUAUAUUUAAUUACUUUAUUUAAAAAAAUUCAUAAUAAUUAAUUGAUUUUAUUUCUCGCAAGUUAUUUAAUUAUAAUUAAUUAAACAAUAAUUGAAAAAAUGGGCCACCACCUGCUUGCCGCAAAAAACAAAGAAAAUUGAUAUAAAAAACCUUCAUAUCAAACAAUCUUUUCUAAUAAAUUUCUCAAUUCGCUGUGAAUUAGAUCAUGUUUCUGAUUUCUAAUAAAUUUCUUGGUGUUGAUUAUAUUAAAAAAAAGACCACAUAUCAAAUAAAUUUUUCUUAGCAGAAGAUAAAAUAAUUUAUAAUAUCAAUACAUCAAUCAUGUUAAUAAAUAAUAAAUAAUAAAUUAAAGUCAAUGGACAAAUCCACACGAAAAUCAAAACGCAGGGGGAGGAAACUUCCAAUCUAGACUCUGUUGAAUUUUUGGGAUUAAAUUGAAAUUUAAAAGUAUUUAAAAGAAUUCUUGUGUAUGCCUUAAAUUAUUUUUUAUUUAUUUUAUGUAUCACGUUUAAGAUUAUUUAUUUGAUGUAUUAUGUGCUUUUCUUACACAUUUGCUUAUAUGGUUAUAAAAUUUAUAACUUUUAGACAUGGUCACUCCACUCUUACAAGUAAAAUCUAGCUACCCUCUAAGAUCACUUUGUUGAACAAUGCUCACUCACACCGGAUGACAGAAAGGAGGAAAGUUGCCUAUAUGCUACCUCCUCCGGCUGACUUGAAGAAUGCCACGAUCAUAUUUUGGGCACAAGAGCAGUUGAAUGGAAAUUAAGCAAAUCUGUCAACUGAGCUCUACUUAGUUGAUGCUUGUUCUCAAGCACACCUUUUGUUCAAUCAUUCGAGUCAUCUAACAAUAACCCGGAUAAAGUUUUCAUUCCAUGGACUUAUUCAAUUUAAGUAAAGGGAUGUAAUAUCAAUAACAUCUCAACUGACAUUAACUCAAAAAAUAAGUGUAGGAAUCAUCAUGUUUGACUUACUCAAAGAAUUUAUUCUCAUGAAAAUUAAACUAACAUUCAGUUAGACUCGCACACACAUUUCUUUCUUUCUUUUAUCUUUUUCUUUUUUCUUUUGUUUAAGAUAUUGUCGAAUCUUCUAAGGCAAAAUGAGAUCACAACUCAAACAUUCCAUUAUGGUUACACAAUUCAAUAUAUCUCUAAACAAUUAUUUUUCUCUAUUUAUGACACCGUGAUUAGUGUAAUUUAUUGACUUGAAAUAUCACUCGACCUUUUGACGCAAAGUGAGAUGACAAUCUACUGCUCUGCGCAAAAAAUAAAGAAAGUUCAUUAGAGACCAUGUUUCUGAUUUCUAAUAAAUUUCUAGAUUCGCUGUUAAUUUCUGAAGGAGAAUUAGAAAAAAAAGAAAGAAAAGAUUUCAUAUAUCAAACAAACAUUUGUUUGCAGAAGUUAAAAUAAUUUAUAAAAUCGCCACAUCAAUCACAUGUAUAAUAUUAAAUAAAUUAAAGUCAAUGGACAAUAUCCACACGAAAACAGAAACGCUGUCAAGUUUCUUUUGCGUGAUCAAGAUUUGUGUUCUUUUUAAUAUUACCAUGGACAAAUCAAUCAUGUAUUAUAUAAAAUGUUUGGGACAAUAAAUUAAUUUCAUGUCUGUGGGUUUUAUCACUAUAAAUCUUUCUGUUUUCUUAAUAAAAUUGAAGCAACAAUUCUAUAGUUUUCAUCUACAUUUCGCCUCUGAAAUUAUAGUAAAGCAGAGACAAUGAAAGGAACAUUGAUGUUGAGUUGGAUUCUGAUCAUCUGCCUCUCCCAAGUAGCAGUGCGGAGCCAAUACUACUCAGAUACCCUACCAUAUCAUCCCAAGCCACCUAAGGUCACCAAUCUUCACUUCUUUAUGCACGAACAUACGGGUGUUACAGCUGUCGUGCUAACCCAAGCUAACGUCACAAGCAAUAAUUCAUCAGUGACAUUUGCCACCCUAGUUGCCGUUAAUGAUCCCCUCAGGACUGGUCCUGAGCCUGACUCAGAGGUGAUUGGAAAUGUUCAGGGUAUUUCCCUCUUAGCCGGAUCAAAUGCAUCGAGCACGCAGUACAUAGAAUUUGGAUUUAAUACCGGUAAGUUUAACGGCAGCUCUCUAAGCGUAUUUUCAAGGGGAGAACAAGGGCUUGCGGUGGUCGGAGGAAGAGGACGAUUCAUGAUGGCAACAGGGACUGCACUAUUUAACCCUAUCCUUAUAAAUGCCACCAAUGUUAUUAUGGAAUUUAACUUUACUGUAGUUCAUUACUAAGAUGUUAUUUACAGACUCAAUUCUCUUGGAUUGUGAAAAAGUCGUGUGAUUCUGCUCCACUUGGUUAGAAUAAAUGUAUGAGAUUAAAAUUCUCAUACUUCAUCAUUGUACUUUAUUAUUUUAUUACAAAUAAAGAUUAAAUUCUUAGCUACAAAAA